CGGUGGCCAAGUGGUUAGCGCACUUGCCUUUCACCUCUGAGGCUGCAGGUUCGAGUCUCACUAAGUACCUUCUCAGUGCGACUCGAACCCAGUCCCCAUGUGAAAAGAGAAAAAGUCAACGCUCUGCCGAACGCCGUGGGUUUUCCCCGGGUACUCCGGUUUCCUCCCACAGGGAAAGUUGACAGGGUGGGUUAGGUAAAAAAGGGCCCACAGUAAUUGGCAUAUGCUGUUGUGGUGACCCUGCCCUAGUUGGCAAAGCUAAAUAAAUAAAUAAAUAAAUAAAUCU